UACGGAGGGUGCAAGCGUUGUCCGGAAUCACUGGGCGUAAAGGGCGCGUAGGCGGCCCGGUAAGUAGGGGGUGAAAUCCUGCGGCUUAACCGCAGGGCUGCCUUCUAAACUGUCGGGCUCGAGCACAGUAGAGGCAGGUGGAAUUCCCGGUGUAGCGGUGGAAUGCGUAGAGAUCGGGAAGAACAUCAGUGGCGAAGGCGGCCUGCUGGGCUGUUGCUGACGCUGAGGCGCGACAGCGUGGGGAGCAAACAGG
rnacentral:rRNA from 1 species